rnacentral:rRNA from 1 species
UCGAACAGACCUACUAAUUUUAGCUUCUACACCAAAAUUUUAUUUUAAUCCAACAUCGAGGUCGCAAUCUUUUCUUUCGAUAAGAACUCUCAAAAAAAAUUACGCUGUUAUCCCUAAGGUAAUUUAAUCUUUUAAUCUUUAAAUAAGGAUCAACUACUCAUAAAUCAAUGCUAAAAUAUAAAAAAGUUCAAUAAAUUUUUAAAUCACCCCAAUCAAAUUAAUAUAAAUACAAAAAAAAAUAAAUUCUAAUAAUAAUUAUAAUUAUACUAAUAAAACUCUAUAGGGUCUUCUCGUCUUUAAUUUAUAUUUAAGCUUUUUUACUUAAAAAUAAAAUUCCAAUAAAAUUAAAUAGAGACAGCUAUUUUCUCAUCUAACCUUUCAUUCCAGCUUUCAAUUAAAAAACUAUUGAUUAUGCUACCUUUGCACGGUCAAAUUACCGCGGCCAUUCAAAUUUCAUUGGGCAGGCUGGACUUUAAAUUAUUCUCAAAAA